rnacentral:rRNA from 1 species
GAUGAACGCUGGCGGCGUGCCUAAUACAUGCAAGUCGAGCGAAUGGAUUAAGAGCUUGCUCUUAUGAAGUUAGCGGCGGACGGGUGAGUAACACGUGGGUAACCUGCCCAUAAGACUGGGAUAACUCCGGGAAACCGGGGCUAAUACCGGAUAAUAUUUUGAACUGCAUGGUUCAAAAUUGAAAGGCGGCUUCGGCUGUCACUUAUUGAUGGACCCGCGUCGCAUUAGCUAGUUGGUGAGGUAACGGCUCACCAAGGCAACGAUGCGUAGCCGACCUGAGAGGGUGAUCGGCCACACUGGGACUGAGACACGGCCCAGACUCCUACGGGAGGCAGCAGUAGGGAAUCUUCCGCAAUGGACGAAAGUCUGACGGAGCAACGCCGCGUGAGUGAUGAAGGCUUUCGGGUCGUAAAACUCUGUUGUUAGGGAAGAACAAGUGCCAGUUGAAUAAGCUGGCACCUUGACGGUACCUAACCAGAAAGCCACGGCUAACUACGUGCCAGCCGCCGCGGUAA